AAAUUGCUGUGGUAUUUUGACUAUACAAAGGUAUUGAAAUAAGAUUUUAAUUGAAUGCUAAGAGAAUGGAAGUCCAGAAAAAAACUUUUUUUAAAUUAAAAAUUGAAGUUUUUUUAAUUUGUGCAGAAACAAUUAUUUAUAUUAAAGACAAGAAGACCCUAUGAAUUUAUUAAAUUUUUAUUUAAUAUGUAAUUACUAUUAGAAAAAUUUUGGCUGGGGCGGCUAGAAAAUAUUAUGAACUUUUUAAAAAUAAAAUGAUCCAUUAUUAAUGAUUUUAUGUUAAAUACUCUAGGGAUAACAGCGUUAUAUUUUUUGAUAGAUCAUAUUGACAAAAAAGUUUGCGACCUCGAUGUUGGAUUAGGAUACUUUUUUAAUGAAGAUAUUAAAAAAAAAAGUUUGUUCAAC
rnacentral:rRNA from 1 species